AACCCCGGGAAACUGGGGCUAAUAUUAGAUAGAUAAAAGAUACUGGAAUGUUCUUUUAUCCAAAGCCUUUGCGCCUGAGGAUGGGCCUGCGUCCGAUUAGGUUGUUGGUGGGGUAAUGGCCCACCAAGCCUGCGAUCGGUACGGGCAGUGAGAGCUGAAGCCCGGAGUUGGGGACUGAGACAAGGCCCCAGGCCCUACGGGGCGCAGCAGGCGCGAAACCUCUGCAAUGCGGGAAACCGUGACAGGGGGAUCCCAAGUGCUCAUGCAUUGCAUGGGCUGUUCUUUGGUCUAAGUAACCAGAGGAGUAAGGGCUGGGCAAGACCGGUGCCAGCCGCCGCGGUAAUACCGGCAGCUCAAGUGGUAGCCGCGAUUAUUGGGCCUAAAGCGUUCGUAGCCGGAUAAGUAAGUCUUUGGUUAAAUCCUGCGACUAAACCGUGGGAAAUCUAGAGAUACUGCUUGUCUUGAGACCGGGAGAGGUUGGAGGUACUCCCAGGGUAGGGGUGAAAUCCUGUAAUCCUGGGGGGGACCACCUGUGGCGAAGGCGUCCAACUGGAACGGGUCUGACGGUGAGGGACGAAACCUAGGGGAGCGAGCCGGAUUAGAUACCCGGGUAGUCCUAGGCGUAAAUGAUGCGAGUUAAGUGUGGGGGCAUCUACGAGAUGGCCCUGUGCUGUAGGGUAGCCGUUAAACUCGCCGCCUGGGAGUACGGUCGCAAGGCUGAAACUUAAA
rnacentral:rRNA from 1 species